rnacentral:rRNA from 1 species
CCUACGGGAGGCAGCAGUGGGGAAUAUUGCGCAAUGGGCGAAAGCCUGACGCAGCAACGCCGCGUGGGGGAUGAAGGCCUUCGGGUUGUAAACCUCUUUCAGCAGGGAAGAAGCGAAAGUGACGGUACCUGCAGAAGAAGCACCGGCUAACUACGUGCCAGCAGCCGCGGUAAUACGUAGGGUGCAAGCGUUGUCCGGAUUUAUUGGGCGUAAAGAGCUCGUAGGCGGUUAGUCACGUCGGAUGUGAAAUCCCGGAGCUUAACUCCGGGCCUGCAUUCGAUACGGGCUGACUCGAGUGUUGUAGGGGAGACUGGAACUCCUGGUGUAGCGGUGAAAUGCGCAGAUAUCAGGAAGAACACCGGUGGCGAAGGCGGGUCUCUGGGCAACUACUGACGCUGAGGAGCGAAAGCGUGGGGAGCAAACAGGAUUAGAUACCCUGGUAGUCCACGCCGUAAACGGUGGGCGCUAGGUGUGGGGAACAUUCCACGUUCUCUGCGCCGCAGCUAACGCAUUAAGCGCCCCGCCUGGGGAGUACGGCCGCAAGGCUAAACUUAAAGGAAUUGACGG